AACGAACGCUGGCGGCGUGCCUAACACAUGCAAGUCGAGCGCGAAUGGGAGCAAUCCCUAGUAGAGCGGCGCACGGGUGCGUAACACGUGGAUAAUCUGCCUGGAAGACCGGGACAACCUGCCGAAAGGCAAGCUAAUACCGGAUAAGCCGACGGGGACCUUGGUCCUUGAGGGAAAAGAUGGCCUCUGCAUGCAAGCUAUCACUACCAGAUUGGUCCGGGGCCCAUCAGCUAGUUGGCGGGGUAACUGCCCACCAAGGCGACGACGGGUAGCUGGUCUGAGAGGACGAUCAGCCACACUGGAACACGGGCCAGACUCCUACGGGAGGCAGCAGUGAGGAAUUUUGCGCAAUGGGAGCAAUCCUGACGCAGCAACGCCGCGUGGGUGAUGAAGGCCUUCGGGCCGUAAAGCCCUGUCGGGUGGGAAGAACAUCCUUUGGUCAAAUAGAUUGAAGGAGUGACGGUACCACCAAAGGAAGCACCGGCUAACUCCGUGCCAGCAGCCGCAGUAAUAC
rnacentral:rRNA from 1 species